rnacentral:rRNA from 1 species
UACAGAGGGGGCAAGCGUUAUUCGGAAUUAUUGGGCGUAAAGGGCGCGUAGGCGGCUUUGCAAGUGGCGGGUGAAAUCCCUCGGCUUAACCGAGGAACUGCCUGUCAAACUGCAUGGCUUGAGACCGGGAGAGGUGAGUGGAAUUCCCAGUGUAGCGGUGAAAUGCGUAGAUAUUGGGAGGAACACCAGUGGCGAAGGCGGCUCACUGGACCCGGUACUGACGCUGAUGCGCGAAAGCGUGGGGAGCAACAGGG